rnacentral:tRNA from 2 species
GGUCCCGUAGCUCAGCAGGACAGAGCAGCGGUUUCCUAAACCGAAGGUCGGAGGUUCGAGUCCUCCCGGGAUCGCCA